rnacentral:rRNA from 1 species
UACGUAGGGGGCGAGCGUUGUCCGGAUUUAUUGGGCGUAAAGAGCGUGUAGGCGGCCAGGUAGGUCUGCUGUGAAAACUCGAGGCUCAACCUCGAGACGUCGGCGGAAACCAUCUGGCUAGAGUCCGGAAGGGGAGAGUGGAAUUCCUGGUGUAGCGGUGAAAUGCGCAGAUAUCAGGAGGAACACCGAUGGCGAAGGCAGGUCUCUGGGCCACUACUGACGCUGAGAAGCGAAAGCAUGGGGAGCGAACAGG